GACGAACCGUGCGAACGUUAUUCGGAAUCAUUGGGCUUAAAGCGCGUGUAGGCGGGUUCGUGCGUCUGUCGCUGAAAUCCCCCGGCUCAACCGGGGAAGUGGCGUGGAUACGACGAGUCUGGAGGGGCAUAGGGGGACCUGGAACUUCCGGUGGAGCGGUGAAAUGCGUUGAGAUCGGAAGGAACGCCCGUGGCGAAAGCGAGGUCCUGGAUGCCUACUGACGCUGAGACGCGAAAGCCAGGGAGCGAACGGG
rnacentral:rRNA from 1 species